rnacentral:lncRNA from 1 species
AGACACAGGUUCUGGCUAUGUUGCCCAGUCAGGAGUGCAAUGGCUAUUCACUGAUGCAGUCACAGUGUACUACAACCUUGAACUCAUGGCCUCAAGUGAUCCUCCUGCCUCAGCCUCCAGUAGCUAGGACUACAGAAAUACUGGCAUGGACAAUAAUGUAAAGCUCAUAACACACCACUGUGACAAGGACAUCAACUACAAAGAAGUGCCAUCAAUUGAAAUGGUCUUUAACAUUGAUAUGGUUACAUAGUAACCAACUUGAAAUUCCCUGAAAUAUUACAGAUCAUAUAUGAAAUAAAUGUUUUAGAGGUUUUUU